AUGUUCAAUAAUGUACAUUGCCUUGAAACACUUUCACAUUUGAUACAGUUUUACGGGUGGAUGAUCCGGUGUUUUAACUCCAUCUGCUGGCGGACAACAACUCAUUCCAACAGGGCUUCCUUAGCACCGGCGAGACACACUUCCUUAGGAACAGGCUGAUGUAAACAUUGCAGUGCGCAAAAUAAAAAGGAAAAUCACAAGUGUGAAGGAAUUUGACUUGGUCACCUGCUGGGCUCUGGACUAGUACAGUUGGACAUACACACACUGUGUGUGUCUAAUGGACUCUGCUGUGAGAAGGUGUGUCAGGAGGGGAGUGGUGAAAUGGUUCUGGAGAUGUUUUUCUCUGGUUUCCCGCGCAUGGAAAUCUGUGGAUUACAUAACUGUGUUCAUCUGCAGAAAUUAUUUCUGUACGAAAACCACAUCCAGCAGAUCCCAAAUCUAGAGAUGUUGGUCGACCUUCACAUUCUGUGGCUUAAUAAGAACCAGAUCUCUGACAUACAGG